UUACCCCUAUGUUCUAUUUUAAGCUGUUGCGGCCAUCUUGGUUGGGUGGGUGGGUCACGCCACACAUUUUUUAAACUAGAUACCCAAAUGAUAGUUGUGGCCAAGUUUAGUUUAAUUUGGCCCAGUUGUUUCAGAGGAGAAGAUUUUUGUAAAAGAUUACUAAGAUUUACGAAAAAUGGUUAAAAAUUGACUAUAAAGGGCAAUAACUCUUAAACGGGUCAACUGACCAUUUCGGUCAUGUUGACUUAUUUGUAAAUUUUACUUUGCUGAACAUUAUUGCUGUUUACAGUUUAUCUCUAUCUAUAAUAAUAUUCAAGAUAAUAACCAAAAACAGCAAAAUUUCCUUAAAAUUACCAAUUCAGGGGCAGCAACCCAACAACGGGUUGUCCGAUUCAUCUGAAAAUUUCAGGGCAGAUAGAUCUUGACCGGAUGAACAAUUUUGCUCAGUCAGAUUUGCUCUAAAUGCUUUGGUUUUUGAGUUAUAAGCCAAAAACUGCAUUUUACCCCUAUGAUCUAUUUUAAGCUGUUGCGGCCAUCUUGGUUGGGUGGGUGGGUCACGCCACACAUUUUUUAAACUAGAUACCCUAAUGAUAGUUGUGGCCAAGUUUGGUUUAAUUUGGCCCAGUUGUUUCAGAGGAGAAGAUUUUUGUAAAAGAUUACUAAGAUUUACGAAAAAUGGUUAAAAAUUGACUAUAAAGGGCAAUAACUCUUAAAGGGGUUAACUGAACAUUUCGGUCAUGUUGACUUAUUUGUAAAUCUUACUUUGCUGAACAUUAUUGCUGUUUACAGUUUAUCUCUAUCUAUAAUAAUAUUCAAGAUAAUAACCAAAAACAGCAAAAUUUCCUUAAAAUUACCAAUUCAGGGGUAGCAACCCAACAACGGGUU
rnacentral:lncRNA from 1 species